GAGCCACUCACAUCCAGGUGUCUCUGGUUGAUGUCGUAGAUGAUGAGGAGGUGUCGGGGCAGGAGCUGCUCAAACAUGAAGACAGGCCAACGCUCCAACGCUUCAGGGAGCACCGUGUGGUUGGUAUAUGCACAGUGUCUCCGUCUCUCUGCCCGUGCUAUUUCCAACCACCAGCCAGCUCACCAUCAUUUACACUGUUGUUGUCAAAUAAACAUCUUUAACUUCA